AGUGAACGCUGGCGGUAGGCCUAACACAUGCAAGUCGAACGGCGGCACAGUAAGAGCUUGCUCUUACGGGUGGCGAGUGGCGGACGGGUGAGGAAUACAUCGGAAUCUACUUUUUCGUGGGGGAUAACGUAGGGAAACUUACGCUAAUACCGCAUACGACCUACGGGUGAAAGCAGGGGAUCUUCGGACCUUGCGCGAUUGAAUGGGCCGAUGUCGGAUUAGCUAGUUGGCGGGGUAAAGGCCCACCAAGGCGACGAUCCGUAGCUGGUCUGAGAGGAUGAUCAGCCACACUGGAACUGAGACACGGUCCAGACUCCUACGGGAGGCAGCAGUGGGGAAUAUUGGACAAUGGGCGCAAGCCUGAUCCAGCCAUACCGCGUGGGUGAAGAAGGCCUUCGGGUUGUAAAGCCCUUUUGUUGGGAAAGAAAAGCAGCAGGUUAAUACCCCGCUGUUCUGACGGUACCCAAAGAAUAAGCACCGGCUAACUUCGUG
rnacentral:rRNA from 1 species